rnacentral:misc_RNA from 1 species
GAUGAAGAACGCAGCGAAAUGCGAUAAGUAAUGUGAAUUGCAGAAUUCAGUGAAUCAUCGAAUCUUUGAACGCACAUUGCGCCCUCUGGUAUUCCGGGGGGCAUGCCUGUUCGAGCGUCAUUAUAACCACUCAAGCUCUCGCUUGGUAUUGGGGCUCGCGGUUCCGCGGCCCCUAAAAUCAGUGGCGGUGCCUGUCGGCUCUACGCGUAGUAAUACUCCUCGCGAUUGAGUCCGGUAGGUCUACUUGCCAGCAACCCCCAAUUUUUACAGGUUGACCUCGGAUGAGGUAGGGAUACCCGCUGAACUUAAGCAUAUCAAUAAGCGGAGGA